rnacentral:misc_RNA from 1 species
UGUGUUGCUUACCUACGAAAAGGAAUUCGAUCGUUCGAUUGCCCCUUUCCGCCCGACGCCCUCUAUGGGCGCGGGGUGGACACCAGGCAGGCUUCGUGUCUCCUGGCAUGCCUCGCCCAGUUGCGUGGGCUGCCUAGGCGCACGGCGUCGUUGCCCGUUCUCUCGGAUGCGGAAUGUUGUGCGCGGGCGCGGGGGUCUCGGCCUUCGCCAGCCCGAGCUACGCAUUUGUCCCUUGACACGAACGACGGUCGUGCCCGUCUUGACCCCGUCGUCGCCUUCGGGCUCGAUGGGGCUCAUGCGGGCGUCGACGUCGCCAAGGAAUGCUACCUGGUUGAUCCUGCCAGUAGUCAU